rnacentral:misc_RNA from 1 species
GAUGAAGAACGUAGCGAAAUGCGAUACGUAAUGUGAAUUGCAGAAUUCAGUGAAUCAUCGAGUCUUUGAACGCACAUUGCGCCCCCUGGUAUUCCGGGGGGCAUGCCUGUCCGAGCGUCAUUGCUGCCCUCAAGCACGGCUUGUGUGUUGGGCCCCCGCCCCCCGGUUCCCGGGGGGCGGGCCCGAAAGGCAGCGGCGGCACCGCGUCCGGUCCUCGAGCGUAUGGGGCUUCGUCACCCGCUCCGUAGGCCCGGCCGGCGCCCGCCGGCGACCCCCACUCAAUCUUUCCAGGUUGACCUCGGAUCAGGUAGGGAUACCCGCUGAACUUAAGCAUAUCAAUAAGCGGAGGA